UACAGAGGGUGCAAACGUUGCUCGGAAUCAUUGGGCGUAAAGCGCACGUAGGCGGUCAUGUAAGUCAGGAGGGAAAGCCCUCGGCUUAACCGGGGAAGUGCUUUUGAAACUGCAUGACUUGAAUACUGGAGAGGAUCGCGGAAUUCCCGGUGUAGAGGUGAAAUUCGUAGAUAUCGGGAGGAACACCAGUGGCGAAGGCGGCGAUCUGGACAGAUAUUGACGCUGAGGUGCGAAAGCGUGGGGAGCAAACAGG
rnacentral:rRNA from 1 species